UACGUAGGGGGCUAGCGUUGUUCGGAAUUACUGGGCGUAAAGAGUGUGUAGGCGGUGCUCUAAGUUCGGUGUGAAAUCUCCCGGCUCAACUGGGAGGGUGCGCCGGAAACUGGAGUGCUUGAGCGUGGGAGAGGAAAGCGGAAUUCCUGGUGUAGCGGUGAAAUGCGUAGAUAUCAGGAGGAACACCUGCGGUGUAGACGGCUUUCUGGACCAUAGCUGACGCUGAGACACGAAAGCGUGGGUAGCAAACAGG
rnacentral:rRNA from 1 species